rnacentral:rRNA from 1 species
UAGGGAAUUUUCCACAAUGGACGAAAGUCUGAUGGAGCAACGCCGCGUGCAGGAUGAAGGCUCUAGGGUCGUAAACUGCUUUUAUAUGUGAAGACUUCGACGGUAGCAUAUGAAUAAGCCACGGCUAACUACGUGCCAGCAGCCGCGGUAAUACGUAGGUGGCAAGCGUUGUCCGGAUUUAUUGGGUUUAAAGGGUGCGUAGGUGGCCCUGUAAGUCAGUGGUGAAAUAUCUCAGCUUAACUGAGAGGGUGCCAUUGAUACUGCAGGGCUUGAGUACAGAUGAGGUAGGCGGAAUUGACGGUGUAGCGGUGAAAUGCAUAGAUAUCGUCAAGAACACCGAUAGCGAAGGCAGCUUACCAAGCUGUAACUGACACUGAGGCACGAAAGUGUGGGGAUCAAACAGGAUUAGAUACCCCUGUAGUCCCUGAGCGGGCUGGCAAGGCGCAU